rnacentral:lncRNA from 1 species
CACAGAUCACUGACCCUGACCUGGGGAGGAGCUGGUGUGAUCCUCAGCUUUGACAAACCCAGAGGAAGCUGAAGGGGUGCAGCCCAAGCCUGGAGGAUCUGUCCCUGUCAGAAUGAGAAGUUCAGUAUUUGUGGAAGAGGAGAUGGAUUCUGUUUGCUCAGCAGUCCCAGGGGAAGCUGUGUCCUGGGGAGUAGAGAGUGGGAGGCAAAGGGAAAAACAGAGAGCAAUUUAAAGGAGUCCUUCAUUCACUGCCUGUGCUUGAGGCAUUUUGUUUUCUGACAGCUGCAGAACUCUUUGCCUGAGGAUCCUGUGCUGAGAAAAAUACCCCUGGGAAAAGCAGUUCAAAGGCAUUUUUGGGAGAAGAAACUCUUCCAGCUUUGACAAAAGCACACACAGACCAAAACCCCUCUGACCUCUCCCAGCAAUGGGCUGGACUCCUCAGAAGCCACAAGCCUUCUUUUCUCCAGUUCUUAACUAGAACCAUCCCAGAUACCAAGGGUUUGGCAUCUGAAUCAUACAAUUUUUGUAGAAGGGCUGGAACUGCAGAAAGCUGAGAUAAAAGCCCUACCCCUUC